AAAUGAAUGCAUGUGUGAAGAAAAGCCUUGCUACUGUGCAUGUUUAUUGGUUUAAAUUUUUUAUGUAGUUAUGCAUAAAUAAAGUUGUUUCAUUAACAGAAUCCACGUGUCUUCUUAAAAUUAAUUCGAUAAGGAAUCCGGAAUUAAUACGAAAUCGGUUUUAGUUUUGUCGAUGACAAAACAUACGUCACAUUUUUACGUCACGGAGGCAGCAGAUCGAACAUGCAGGAUGAAUUUAGCUUAGCAGAGGUAUGCAUUGACUGCUUGACAUAUCCCUGGAAGAGGACAUCAACUAGCUAACAGUCAAAGACAGAUGUCUCUUUGAAUAAUCAAAUGGAUAUGAUACAGAAGUUUCAAAGAUCUGUUUUGAUGUUGCCUGAAGAUUUUGUAAUGAAUGAUCCAGGAUCCAAAUGUUCUUCGCGAAGUUCAGACAGUUGCAAUGUGGUUGCUAAUUUAGUGACAGAUUAAGAAAGAAGUUCAAACAAGCAUUUUCAUGGGAAAACAUUAAAAAGGAAGGAAUUGGAGGUGGACAAAAAUCAGGAUGAAUAUACUAGAGAAACUAUUAAAGCACAGAAGAAUGACAACAAUAUAAAUCUAAAUGUAAUCAUUCAAGGAAUUAAAUUCAUUUUUAAUCUCGAAACUGUCUUUUUUCUGUAACUCUAAUUUUAGAUUAACAAGUAGCUGGAAAUGCAA